ACCAGACGCACAGUGUUCCUACCCUUGUGGUCUCCCCUGAGCACUACUGCUUAGUUUGUCCCAAAUGAAGUAAAAUAAAGUAUUUCUUUAGCACGGACCCACCCUCUCCCGCCUUUUCUUACAGGAAGCCAGGAGACGGCGCGCCCCUAAGAGAGGACCCCGGCUGUGGGAGAAGAGGAGGGAGCGGGGCGCCCCCGAACCGGCUAAGCCCGUUCGACCCCUACAUGGGGAGCCCAGGUCCCCGGCGACCGGACCCCGAAGCGCACUACUUGCCUGCCAACGCCUUGCUCCGAGGCCCUGGGCGCUGUCUCAGCCGCCCCCCGCCCCCUGGAGGUGCGCGGCCAGGAGCCGCCCCCGAGGAAAACAGGCCAGCAAGCAUCUGCACCAGGAGGCCAGGCCUUCUGGAAAUGUGUUGGACAGCGAUGGGUCCACACUUCCGCCUUGGCUCCUGAAUGUGGCAUAGCCAACCCAUGAGAGAUGUCAGUUGACAAAGAGCAUGAGGAUCAGGCCAUGGCCUUGUGACACAGUGGAUGAACACCUGGCUGAAGAAACCCAGGAGAGAGAAGCACUGGACACUGGCUUCUGGGCUUAGCUGCUUGGACUCUGGCCAAGGUCUGGGGAUGUCCAGGACAAUCAGCUUUCUGCUUCUGUGCCCAUAAACUCGGGGUAUGGACUCAUUUCCAGUGCUGAGAAGUUCUGAAAUUGCAAAAGAUUCUUCCUAGCAAGUUCUCGACCUGUCUUCUAACUACCCUGCCAUGUGGCCCUCUCUGGGCCUCAGUUUCCCAUCUGUGAAUGAAAGCACUAGACUCGAAGGGUCCCUUCUGGCUCCUCUAACUCCAACCGAGAGGCACAGCUCAGGCUGAGCAGUUGCAUUUCCUCAUCACGGGGGACUGACAGGGAUCUUUUGCAAUGCUCAAUUCUAACAUCAAAAUUCCCCCAAAUAUUCCUUUUUUUUUCUUUUUUCGAGACAGAGUCUCACUCUUGUCGCCCAAGCUGGAGUGCAAUGGCACAAUCUCAGCUCACUGCAACCUUCCCCCCCGCCGGUUCAAGUGAUUCUCCUGCCUCAGCCUCCCGAAUAUCUGGGACUACAGGCGCACGCCACUAUGCCAGCUAAUUUUUUUGUAUUUUUAGUAGAGACAGGGUUUCAUCAUUUCGGCCAGGCUAGUCUCGAACUCCUGACCUCAGGUGAUCUGCCUGCCUCGGCCUCCCAAAGUGUUGGGAUUACAGGUGUGAGCCACCUCACCGGCCCCAAAUAUUUAUUUGAAGACAUUGAUUCAGGAUGCUUCUAGCCAUUAAAUUUGAUUUGCAAAUGAAUUUUUCUGGAUCACCUCACAGGCCCUGGGGAAUGGCCAGGGGUCUGGGUGGCCAUAUUUUCCGAAUAAAGCUCAAAACCAAAA